rnacentral:rRNA from 1 species
AAUCAACGCUGGCGGCGCGCUUAACACAUGCAAGUCGCACGAGAAAGUGGAGCAAUCCAUGAGUACAGUGGCGUACGGGUGAGUAACACGUGGGUAAUCUACCUCUUAGUGGGGAAUAACUCUGGGAAACCGGAGCUAAUACCGCAUAAGCCUGGAAAGGGAAAGCAGCAAUGCGCUGAGAGAGGAGCCCGCGGCCGAUUAGCUAGUUGGUAGGGUAAAAGCCUACCAAGGCAAUGAUCGGUAGCCGGCCUGAGAGGGCACACGGCCACACUGGCACUGAAACACGGGCCAGACUCCUACGGGAGGCAGCAGUGGGGAAUCUUGCACAAUGGGGGCAACCCCUGAUGCAGCGACGCCGCGUGAGC